AGCCCAACUCUAGCCCACCCCCCCUCCACUAGAUCUACAUUAAGAAUUUACUCGACCUUUAAACUAAACCAUUCUUCCAACUUAGUAUAGGCGAUAGAAAAGAUUACUAGGCGCGAUAGAGACCUGUACCGUAAGGGAAAGAUGAAAUAACAAUGAACAAGCCAAGCAGUAAACAGCAAAGAUAAACCCUUGUACCUUUUGCAUCAUGAUUUAGCAAGAAUAACCAAGCAAAGCGGACUUAAGCUUGUCGCCCCGAAACCCAAGCGAGCUACUUACAAACAGCUAUCCUUGAGCGAACCCGUCUCUGUUGCAAAAGAGUGGGACGAUUUGUUAGUAGAGGUGAAAAGCCAACCGAGCUGGGUGAUAGCUGGUUACCUGUGAAAUGAAUCUAAGUUCUACCUUGACAACUCCUCCAAGGACUCCCAGCCACCCCAUUGAAGACAAUCAAGAGUAAUUUAAAGGAGGUACAGCUCCUUUAAAAAAGAAUACAACCUCCCCUAGCGGAUAACUCCUAACCCCAUAAAAGUAAUUGUGGGCCUUCAAGCAGCCACCAACAAAGAAUGCGUCACAGCUCCAUCUCCCCAAAAAUCCUAAAACUACAUGACUCCCUUCCCACUAACAGGUCAUCCUAUAAUAAUAGGAGAAUUAAUACUAAAAUGAGUAACUAGGAUAUGCCUCCUCUUAAGCGCAAACUUACAUUCCCCUUAUUAUUAACAGACAACUAAUACCCCCAUUUCAACAAGACUACGUAUUUCAUUUUCUGUUAACCCAACUCAGGAGCGCCUACUAGAAAGAUUAAAAUCUGUAAAAGGAACUAGGCAAACCCUAAGGCCCGACUGUUUACCAAAAACAUAGCCUUCAGCCAGACGAGUAUUGAAGGUGAUGCCUGCCCAGUGACCUCACGUUUAACGGCCGCGGUAUCCUAACCGUGCGAAGGUAGCGCAAUCAAUUGUCCCAUAAAUCGAGACUUGUAUGAAGGGCUAAACGAGGUCUUAACUGUCUCUUACAGGUAAUCAGUGAAAUUGAUCUCCCUGUGCAAAAGCAGGGAUGAAUACAUAAGACGAGAAGACCCUGUGGAACUUUAAAAUCAACAGCCACCCCACAACAAAACAAAACCUACCAGGCCCACCACUAGCAGGACGCUGGCUUGCAUUUUUUCGGUUGGGGCGACCUUGGAGAAAUACGAAUCCUCCAAAAAUAAGACUACCCUCUCUUAACUAAGAGCAACUCCUCAACGUACUAAUAGUAACCAGACCCAAUACAAUUGAUCAAUGGACCAAGCUACCCCAGGGAUAACAGCGCAAUCUCCUCCAAGAGCCCAUAUCGACGAGGAGGUUUACGACCUCGAUGUUGGAUCAGGACAUCCUAAUGGUGCAGCCGCUAYUAAGGGUUCGUUUGUUCAACGAUUAAUAGUCCUACGUGAUCUGAGUUCAGACCGGAGUAAUCCAGGUCGGUUUCUAUCUAUGAUCCACUUCUCCUAGUACGAAAGGACCGGAAAAGUGGGGCCAAUGCCUCAAUGUACGCCCCCUCCCCUAAGUAAUGACUUCAACUAAAUUACCAAGGAGACCCAUACUACCUAAUCCUAGAAAAGGACC
rnacentral:rRNA from 1 species